CUGCAGUGCACUAUGCCAAGUGGGCAUCCGCGCUAAGGCCGGCAUCAAUAUGGUGAGCCCUGGGGAGCCAGGGGACACCAGGUUGACUAAGGAGGGGUGAACCGGCCCCGGUCGGAGACACAGCAGGUCAAAGCUCCCAUGCCGGUCAAUAGCGGGAUUGCGCCUGUGAAUAGCCACUGCAG
rnacentral:SRP_RNA from 1 species